CGUGGCAUGCAAAUACAGUAGCAAGGCUGAAAGCGAUAAUAACGGUAGCAGUCAUAAUGCAUCCUGUCAGAAAUUGAAAACCAAGAACGAUACUGUGCUCUAGAUUAGUAUCAACUGGAAUUUUGUAGGUUGGAAAAGCCCAUCGACCAGUCUCCGUCAUAAAAAUUUGGAAUUGUAUACAUACAACAUGCAAAGACAGUGACCAAACAAUACGCAUCUACAGUGAUGUAAUAUAUUACAAAUUCAGCCAAGCAUUGCAAUUACAAAACUUUGAAAAACGGAAUAAUUUGUGGAUUGAAAAAUCUAUUAAUAAAUAAGAGAGGCCUGGGAUUUUACGAUCUUGUUAAUUAUUUCUGCGUUUCACAUUAAGAGGCUAUUACAUAAUUGUAUAGAAAAAUCUUAUAGAAUACACGAAAUCAGCAUAGUUGAUAUAACUUUAAACUUAUGCGUGCAUAACAAAAAUGGUGAUCAAACAACAAGCAUCUAUAGUGUCGGAAUAUAUUAAAAAUCCAAGCAUUGCAUCAAUUACACAAUUUCUAAAGAUAGAAUGGUACGUCAAUCGAAAAAC